UCUUUUAUAUAUAUAUUCCCGCCAAAAGUGGUGUAGAGAAGAGAUAGAAUUUAAAAGAGAGACAGAGAGACCUAAAUUUGAAAGGGGAAGCUUGGCUAAAUUUGAAAAACUCCAAAAAUGGAAUUGCAUCGUUGUUCACAGUUUUCACCAUCUAUGAAUGAUCAUUAUCUCUCUUUGAGGUAACAAACUCCAUUUUCUCCCAAAACUUGAAGCUUUUUUUCUUCGUUUUGUUUAUACCUCGCGACAUCUUCUUCUUCCUCGGGUUCCCAAUUCCCUCAAUUUGGGAACCUGAAUAAUCCCUUCUUCAACUUCAUGAUCAGUUCUUCAGGUAUAAAACCCCUUUCUAUAAUCUCACACUUUGUUUCCUUGGGACUUACGGUAGUACCUAACCUAUAAUUUACAUGUAUCUUCUUUCAGAAUGGGUCUCAAGCUCUCGAGAGGGCCUGUAAAAGAGAAAUCAACUCUAGGACUAACGAGGGUUCACAUUCUGACCUACCUUACAACAAGUUAUUAUCUACGUAGCUUGGUCUCCAAGAAACGAAGACGGUUAAUCAUUGGUGGAUAUGAUCUUGAUAUGUCUUAUAUUUCUGACAAAUUGUUGGCUAUGUCCUUUCCUGCUGAACGAAUGAGAGCAGUUUAUAGAAACCCUCUUUGGCAAGUCAAGUCUGUCCUCGAUAUGCGACAUCCUGAUCACUACAAGGUUUAAUAAGACAAUUGAUCAAUCAAAACAUCAAAUCAACAUAUAAGCCAAUCUUUUUCUAAACAUUUUUGGGUCACAGGUCUAUAAUCUUUGCAUAGAAGAAUCUUAUGAUCCAGAAAACUUUUAUGGCCGCGUGGAACGAUUUCCGUUUGAUGACAAUCAUGUUCCGUCUCUCAAAAUGAUCCAACUUUUCUGCGAAAGUGUUUAUUCUUGGCUCGCACAAGAUCCCAAGAACAUCACCGUUGUUCAUUGCAUGGUAUAUUUUCUAAAAAACCAAAACCCGAGUUCUUAGUUUCUUACACAUUGUUAUAUUAUCAGAUUCUAAUGUACUUUUUGCAGGCAGGAAAAGGAAGAACAGGGUUAAUGGUAUCGGCGUACCUUGUCUAUGGUGGGAUGUCAGCUGAAGACGCUCUUGAGAUGUAUGCAAGAAGAAGAACAACAAACAAUAAUGGAGUAAGUCCUUAAUUUAGCCAUGGAUUAAUAGAGAAUAAAGCUAAUAAACAAAACCUUUAAUUUUCUUGAUUAAUACUACCAUGACAGGUCUCAAUACCAAGCCAACGUCGUUAUGUGAAAUAUUGGUCAGAUUUACUUACGUUCCGUUUAAAGGGACCUCCGGAGGUUAAAUUACCCCAAGAAGAUAGCAGAGAGUUGCUGAGGAUUAGACUUUAUGAUACAGCUAACGUUGACUCCGUUUUCUUUGUGGUCUCAGAACUUCAGGAGGUAAUGAUAUAUAUACACUUUGAUGCAUUGCAGAUACUGAUUCUGCUUGAUAAUAAUAUAAACAUUGAUGCAAAGCACACACUGUUUCUGAUGUUAGG
rnacentral:lncRNA from 1 species